AGAAAGAGGGAGGAGGGAUUUGGUUGGCUUGAUAGUUGAUACACACGUCUGAACUCUGAGGAAGGGAGUGAUCUUUCAUCCCUUCUCUUUUUUGGUUUUGGUCUUGGUUUUCCUUCCCUCACAUUGCUCCGGUUCCAGCUGGGCCAUCAGGAAGAAAGAUCGGGGGAUUGGAGAUGGACUUCUUGGAGGGUUUUGAGAGUUAGAAGAUGCAAGGAUGUUCUUCUACAGUUUUCUAUUAUGGAAGUGGCUUCAAGAAUUAUGAUUACAUUUACUUUUGAAUGCACAAAGAUGCAUGUUUGUUAUAAUGUUAAUGGGACAAUGUAAUUUGUAUUUUGUCUAAAUAUGUAAUUGUCUAAGUUUGUAGUUUUUA